rnacentral:rRNA from 1 species
CACGGGGGGAGCAAGCGUUGUUCGGAAUCACUGGGCGUAAAGGGCGUGCAGGCGGUCUGUUAAGUGCAGGGUGAAAGCUCCCGGCUCAACUGGGAGAGGUCCUUGCAUACUGGCGGACUUGAGGGGGGUAGAGGAAAGUGGAAUUCCCGGUGUAGUGGUGAUAUGCGUAGAUAUCGGGAGGAACACCUGUGGCGAAGGCGGCUUUCUGGGCCCUACCUGACGCUGAGACGCGAAAGCGUGGGGAGCGAACCGG